rnacentral:lncRNA from 1 species
UGAGGAUUAUUGGACUGUUCCAAAGGGGCAGGCCCAGGUUUUCCAGCUAGGCAAGCACCCGAAGGUAGAUCCUAUGAGACAGGAAUACAUCUGCCACUGGGCACUCCCCUGAGAAAUACAUCUGGUCAAAAUUUAACUAAGAAGUUAGAGUAUCUUUAAAUGCAAUAUUUAUUUUUUAUUGGCAAGUUGUUGAUACUAUAAAAACAGCUCUCAUCUUCUGAUAAAUAUUCUUGAAUACUCUCUACCUGUCAGAAGGUGGAGCUCUAAACAUAUCUGAAACACUGGCUUUUUCUAUGUAUGCUUCACAAAUGUGUGUGAUGACGAGAUCAAA